rnacentral:RNase_MRP_RNA from 1 species
GGGCGUUCUGAAGACCUGCUCUCUAGGCCACAUGCGGAGGACACUGGUUCCUCAAGGGCUCCCGAGCCCGCCUAGGGGAAAGUCCCCGGACCCCGGGCAGAGAGUGCCGCGCGCUCCGCAGCGUGCAGUGACCCGCCUCGCAGGCUCACAUUCUCCCCGCCGAGAAGCCCCCCGGGCUGAGCGGGUGGGCGCGGGAUGGGCUGCCCGUCACUCCCACAGAAACGCAGGUAGUGCGCAGGCGUGUGUGUUUCCCUCGGGGGGCGCCCGCUGCUGCACCAACAGAACGGGGCUCAUUCUCAGAACGCC